CAGCAGCCGCGGUAAUACGAAGGGACCAAGCGUUAUUCGGAAUCAUUGGGCUUAAAGCGCACGUAGGCGGAAAGUUAAGUGUCUUGUGAAAUCCCCCGGCUUAACCGGGGAACUGCAGGGCAUACUGGCUUUCUUGAGGCAAGUAGGGGUACAUGGAACUCUGGGUGGAGCGGUGAAAUGCGUAGAUAUCCAGAGGAACGCCAGCGGAGAAAUCGGUGUACUGGGCUUGUUCUGACGCUGAGGUGCGAAAGCGUGGGUAGCGAACGGGAUUAGAUACCCCGGUAGUCCACGCCGUAAACGAUGUCUACUAGAUCGGGGGAGUUCUGACGCUCUCGCGGUCGAAGCAAAAGUGUUAAGUAGACCGCCUGGGGAGUACGGUCGCAAGGCUAAAGCUCAAAGGAAUUGACGGGGGCUCACACAAGCAGUGGAGCAUGUGGCUUAAUUCGAAGCAACGCGAAGAACCUUAUCCAGGGUUUGACUAUUACGGAUGCUCUUGCGAAAGGUGAGCAGCCGCUUCGGGUGAAACGUAAACAGGUGCUGCAUGGCUGUCGUCAGCUCGUGUCGUGAGAUGUCGGUUUAAGUCCCUUAACGAGCGAAACCCUUAUUGUUAGUUGCCAGCGAGUAAUGUCGGGGACUCUAACGAGACUGCCGGUGUUAAACCGGAGGAAGGCGGGGAUGACGUCAAGUCCUCAUGGCCUUUAUGCCCUGGGCUGCACACGUGCUACAAUGGUACGGACAGACCGACGCAAUACCGCGAGGUGGAGCAAAUCGGAAAAACCGUUCCUCAGUUCGGAUUGUAGGCUGCAACUCGCCUACAUGAAGUUGGAAUUGCUAGUAAUCGCAGAUCAGCUAUGCUGCGGUGAAUAAGUUCCUGAGCCUUGUACACACCGCCCGUCAAGUCACGGAAGCUGGGAGUACCUGAAGUCGGAUAGCUAACUCUUCGGAGAGGCGUCUGCCGAUGGUAAGUUCGGUAACUGGGGCUAAGUCGUAACAAGGUAACCGUA
rnacentral:rRNA from 1 species